rnacentral:lncRNA from 1 species
CACAAGAUCUGAAGUGUAGUAAAUGAUUAUAGAUAGUUACGAACAAUCACACUUAAGGAAUGCAGAGGAACUUCACAUCACUAUGCAGUUCAAGCUCCCUUUAUGCUCUGAUAUAUUUGCAUGCAAGAUAUCACACAUAGAUUGGACCACAUCCAUCCAUCCUCCUACCUAAUCAGUGACACCUUUUUUUGUUCGUUCUUCGAAUUAUGCUAGUGGAUACUAAUUCCUUUCGGCUAAUGAAGAUGCUACCCCAGUCUUCCCAUUCAUUCCCAGUGGAUCCUUUUCAUUGAACGAACCAAGUUCACCUAUAUGAGAGUGAGGAAUAGAAAUCCUAUAUCAGGGAAAAACAUAACCCAUGGUGAAAGCCCAAUAGAUAAAAGUACCACAACAAUUUUAUUGUUCAAGUUAAUCAAAGAAACCAUCAAUGAUAGUCUAAUGCAAGCAAUGGAAUGAAUACAUAUUUCUACAAGCAUUAAGAAAUAAAGUCAUAGCUACCUGAACCCAACAGCAGACUAUUUGAUAAGGAAACUUCAAUGAUCAAACAAAAUGUAUUUGCCAUAGCGGUGCGUGCACGAGGCCAACAGCAGCUGGCUUGUUUAAGGAAAAGAUAUUGUCUACUUCAUUAGGUUUAUGGAUUCAGAUUUGUUACUGAAUGACGAUUUGCUUUUCAGUAGAAAACAUUUAAGUGGGAAAUGUAAAUGAUGUUGUUAGUAUAGGGAGAAUGAGGUGACUGCUAGUUUUGGCGAUGUUUCUCAUCCUCAAAUGGCUUAUUAUCACACAGGCAUGCUAUUCCUUUCCAUUCUCAAAUUGAAAAGGGUGGGAGGGACAGAGAAAGAAUUCCUAGAAUAAGAUUCUCCAAUACGCACCUGGUAGUAAUCCAAAUACUUUUCCCCAUAGAUGUCGCAGACGAAUGGAACAAACCCUAAAACCACGAAGCUGAGCAAAGGUUGAAGAAAAUAAUCGUUGACAGGCUAAUGCAAGCAAUGGAAAGCAUUUUUAUUGCAGUUAACUAAAUAGGACAAGCAUUAGAGUAAUAAAGUAUUAGAGUGGACGGUCUUGUACAUAUAAAUACAAAGAAACUACUAUGUAAGGAAAUAAACAUAAAUCUAAAAAAAGAUUGAGAUACUUGCCUUAGAGCUUUUUCGGAUUUCUCCGCAUAAAUAACAAAACAAUAAAAUGUACAUGUGACAGAGAGGCUAGGGAAAAUUAGUUUUUAGUCAAUUGCAGUUAACUAAAUAGGAUAAACAUUAGAGUAAUAAAAUGUUUAUGUGAUGAGAGAAAAAGGUAGAAUGCAAGGAAAAACAUAAAUCAAGAAGUAAGAUUGGGAUACGUAUUUGUUUUUGAGCUUUUUCAGAUUUACCAGCACGCAUGUGAUAGAGAGGUUGGAGAAUUUUAGUUUUCAGUCAAUUACAAUGGAGAAAAUGUAAGUGACAAACCUUUCAAAAAAAUUGUAGGAAUUUACCUCGUUUUUGUGUAGGCCAGUGAUUCCUCAAAGCGUCGCCAAGGUUCCGAAGAUGUCAUUUGAUUACAACACAAAUAGUCUGAAAAAGUUUUUCACGUUUAGCUAUUAUGCUUAGUAUCGACAACCUGUUGAUCCAUAUGCAAAUAGAGGUCACUAAAUUGUUU